AAUUUUUUGUGCACUUCUUAAAAAAAAUUGAUGAACUUUUUUCAAAAUCAUUGAAAUUUUCUUGAAUAGGGCAACGUUUUUUGCAUGUUCAUGCACCUUUUCCGAAAUUUGUGAAGUUUCAUUUUUCUUAAAGAAAAUCAUAUAUGAGCGGCUAUGGAAGUUUUUUCAAGUGUUAGCGCUGCAUUUUGUCAGUUGCAUAGACAUGCCCUAGUGGUUAGCUGAACAACUGUAGGUAGUGCAGGUCGCGAGUUUGAAUUGUCGCUGUAACGUAAUUUUUGGAAUGUUUUUCACGCAUUUUUAUCACCAUUUUGUGCGGUGCCCCUUCGUGGGCUAGCCCUGGUCGCGCUAUAGCAAGCGUCGCUUCUCCUAAUUGGCGCUGUCUUUUUACACGGGAAAGGACUACUGCUGCUGUGUCGUCCCGACGUUGGGCCGCACUAAGUAUAUUUUUACAGAGAGAAAAACUGUGUGGUUUCUUUAAUAAACCUUUAUCUUUAAAUUAAAAAAAAGGAAACACUGCCAGAAGGCAUUGAACUAGGGGACCUCACGCAUAUAUACCUAGGUCGCUACCGCUAGGGUAUUAUCUAUGUUUCUGUUAAAUGCCUUUUUAAGGCCUUACUUAGAGAUAAAACUAGCCAAGUUGUUUAGUAUAAAAAAAGGUGAUUGAACGGGGAUUUGAACCACGUAGCACUAAUCUCUACGUUCCAACAAGCCAAGUUCUUACAUACAACGAGCCAUGUUUUUUUUCAGGAUUUUUGUAGUACUUUUCACGUGUAGGCAGUAAUAUGUUUUUUUUUAUUUUGCGAAAAGACAACAAUAGUUAUGUACUGUACGACUUAACGUCAAUGUAUAGCAAACAUUCGCGAAAUCUCCUAAAAAAAUUGUGCCCAUCUUAUGAAUCAAUAACAUUGUUCCAUGCCCAUUUGGAAGAAUUGUCUACCAUAUUUUGAUAUUAUUAUCAUUUUUUCUAAUAGGUUGCAACUAGAAGUGAAGUUAUCCCUAAGUAUCUUUUGACAUUUUCAUCUAUUUCUUGGAUAUGAGCUAAAAUAAAACAUAAUUCCUUAAAUAUCUUUUUUGAAAUGUUUAAACCUUAUUUGACUUACAUAUACAACAAAUUGCACUACCUCCAGUAAGCACACAUAAAUUCAUUUAAACCAUAGAAAAUUUAAAUCAUCUAAAAAAUUAUUGAAACUCCUACAAAAGAAAAUGUAUGUAUUAUAGUACAUGUGACAAUUUUAUAGGGGUAUGCCGCAUAUUUUAAUUAAAACGAGAACACCACAUUAAUGGAACUCGAACCUGACACAUAAAUUUUAAGCGGUUAGCACCUUCGAACUUGGCAACUUGUAUUUAAAAAAAUGGUUAACAUUUUUUUGAGAAAUAAAUUCAGACAUCUAUUUUGAAACAAAUCGUCAUGUAUUUAAAAAGUGUUAAACGUGUAUAAAAAUGUUGCUUGUGCAUACAAAAAAUGUACAACGUCUAUUGGACAAAGUACACAUGUAUUUUUCUAAAAUAAAAUGAAAUUGAAUAAAAGAUUAAAAUAAAAAAUGAACAGAAAACAAAAACCAAAAAAAUGAUGAAAAAUGUGCAACACAUAAAACCAAUAAUAGAAACACAAAGAAAAACUUGAGUUUUUCUGGAGCAAAACAAAACCCGUGAGCUAAAAUAAGGGGGGAAAAAGAAAGCCACAAAAAUAGUAGUACGUACGUUGGAUUUGAACAAGGACCUCAUUUACAUUUCUAACGCCACAAAACCACUGUAUUAAGAUACAGUUUUAAUCUAAACACACACUGGCCUUUUUAUAGUAGUAGAAGAUAUUUUCUAGCCUGCUGCCUUCUGAUUGGCUGAACCAGACCUCCCAUGGAUCACGCCUCUCCACCGUCCAUCCUUAGCUGAUCCAACGGUCCCUGCCCCUUCUACUCUCUAUCUGUGCUUUCCCUGAUUCUUAUCCUCUCACACAGCCACACAAACGAGAGCACCAUGCCAGCAGCAGCCACGCCCGAGGAAAUCCACAGCUCGCAGCCGUCGGACGCCGCCAUCCGCGCGAAGGGCCGCCGCCCGCACCUCCCACCACAGCACGCCGCAAUGGAGGCCGACCGCCCAUGGCAUCGCCCGAGCUCACCUCCCAGUAGUCGUACUCCUUUGAAUUCGUCGGCAUCCGGCUAGAUCCGGACGCCAGCGCCCCGUUCCUACUUCCGCGCCUCGCUUGGGUCGUCGGCCACCUCGACGAUGUGAUACCGCUCGCGAGAUCCAACGCCACCGCUGGCUAGCCACUUCCUCCUGGAGGAGACGCCCCCACAUCCGUGCCUCCCCACAUGAGCAGCAGCAACAAACGCCUCGCUAUGGGCGUCUCUGGUGGUGCUUUUUCUUGUAAUUUUUUUAAAGAAGUUUGCCAGAUCUGUGCGUGAAAAACAAUGGCGUUGAACUCUGAUUGAUGUCCCGCGAAGGCUGGGCGGCGCUUGAUGCGGUGGCUGCAGAAUAUCUCUGGGCAAAAUAGUAGGCCAGAUCUAGGGGAAAAAAUUGUAAUUCCAAGUUUUUGGUUGUGUA